rnacentral:rRNA from 1 species
UACGGGGGGGGCAAGCGUUGUUCGGAAUUACUGGGCGUAAAGGGCUCGUAGGUGGCCAACUAAGUCAGACGUGAAAUCCCCAGGCUCAACCUGGGAACUGCGUCUGAUACUGGAUGGCUUGAAUCCGGGAGAGGGAUGCAGAAUUCCAGGUGUAGCGGUGAAAUGCGUAGAUAUCUGGAGGAAUACCGGUGGCGAAGGCGGCAUCCUGGACCGGGAUUGACACUGAGGAGCGAAAGCUAGGGGAGCAAACGGG